rnacentral:lncRNA from 1 species
GGUUCUCUCUUGGUUUAUUGUAAUUUGAUUUGAUUUUUCCUCUAACAUUGCGCGACGAGAGUCGCGAGUAUGCAUGCAUAUAUGACUGAAUUUGAUUGAUGAUAAAAAUGUGUUAAAGGUUGGUGGUGGAGUAGGUAAAAGGGUAAGAGGAGAAGUUCUCAAAAGAAUCAAUAAAAGGGUGGUGGUGGUGGUGAUGCAUAUGAGAUUCCAAAGACAGGUGGUAUAGGCCCUUCAUAUACAGGUGGUGGUGGCGGCGAUGAAUAUACCGGUGGUGGAGGUGAGGGAUAUGCAUAUACUGGUGAUGGUGGGGGUGAGGUGUAUACCGGUGGUGGCGGUGAGGGAUAGGCAUAUACUGGUGAUGGUGGUGGUGAUGGGGAUGGUGGUGGGUGAUAAGGUGUUUGAUGUGGCGCUGGCGAUGAUGGUGGUGGAGGUUCUACACAAGGUGGCGGUGGAGGUGGUGGAGGUUCUACACAAGGUGGUGGAGAUGGCGGUGGUGGUGAAUAGACUGGUGGUGGAGGUGAGUGUACUGGAGGAGGUGGUGGGGGUGAUAAAUAUGGAUAUACGGGUGGAGGAGGUGAGUGAGGUGGUGGUGGUGGCGAA